rnacentral:lncRNA from 1 species
GACCAUCUUUUUCGGCUAACACGCAAACGAAUCCAAAAGAGCAUUGUAAAGCGAUAACGACGAGAAGUGGAAGGGAGUUGAUUAGUGAGAGUAAAAAAAGAGAUGAGAGUGAAAAAAAAGAGGAAGAAAAAAAUGAUGAGGAGAAAAUAAUAGAGGAGAGCAUUGAUGGUGAAGUUGGGGAGUGGAGUGAGGAAGAAGUUGAAAAGAAUGAAAAGAAUGGUGAAGUCGAA